rnacentral:rRNA from 1 species
GAUGAACGCUGGCGGCGUGCCUAAUACAUGCAAGUCGAGCGAACAGACGAGGAGCUUGCUCCUCUGACGUUAGCGGCGGACGGGUGAGUAACACGUGGAUAACCUACCUAUAAGACUGGGAUAACUUCGGGAAACCGGAGCUAAUACCGGAUAAUAUAUUGAACCGCAUGGUUCAGUAGUGAAAGACGGUUUUGCUGUCACUUAUAGAUGGAUCCGCGCCGCAUUGGCUAGUUGGUAAGGUAACGGCUUACCAAGGCAACGAUGCGUAGCCGACCUGAGAGGGUGAUCGGCCACACUGGAACUGAGACACGGUCCAGACUCCUACGGGAGGCAGCAGUAGGGAAUCUUCCGCAAUGGGCGAAAGCCUGACGGAGCAACGCCGCGUGAGUGAUGAAGGUCUUCGGAUCGUAAAACUCUGUUAUUAGGGAAGAACAAAUGUGUAAGUAACUAUGCACGUCUUGACGGUACCUAAUCAGAAAGCCACGGCUAACUACGUG